rnacentral:rRNA from 1 species
UCGGGAAUUUUGGGCAAUGGGCGAAAGCCUGACCCAGCAACGCCGCGUGAAGGAUGAAGUAUUUCGGUAUGUAAACUUCGUAAGAAUAGGAAGAAUAAAUGACGGUACUAUUUAUAAGGUCCGGCUAACUACGUGCCAGCAGCCGCGGUAAUACGUAGGGACCAAGCGUUGUUCGGAUUUACUGGGCGUAAAGGGCGCGUAGGCGGCAAUUCAAGUCAUCUGUGAAAUCUCCGGGCUUAACUCGGAACGGCCAAGUGAUACUGCAAAGCUAGAGUGCAGAAGGGGCAAUCGGAAUUCUUGGUGUAGCGGUGAAAUGCGUAGAUAUCAAGAGGAACACCUGAGGUGAAGACGGGUUGCUGGGCUGACACUGACGCUGAGGCGCGAAAGCCAGGGGAGCAAACGGGAUUAGAUACCCUUGUAGUCCCUGAGCGGGCUGGCAAGGCGCAU